UGGUAGGACUAAAGGGGCGGAUACUAUUUAUGUAGCUGAAAAGAUUGCAGCCGGUCGAUUCCGUAACUGAACUUGUGAAGAAGUGUUUGUUUUGCCUUAGGUCUUUAUUAGACUUCUGUUAUGUUCCUGUUGGACUGCUGAUUUGAUCAAUAUUGGGAAUUUUCACAAGCAUGGGAGGUUUUUCUUUCAAGUCAUUUAGUUCAGGAUCUGCGGCAGUUGGUGCACGGACGGCCCCAUGGUGUUCGGCGUGGAAGUUGACAAACUUGGUAGUUAAUCCUGCAAGUUAACUAGUGCUGUAAAAGUGAAAAUUGCAGCUACGUACCCCUUGUUGCAGAAAUUUCAGAAACUGAACGACCAAUAGCUUCUAGACCAAAUCUCCAGCUCUAUUAGCAGUAAACGUUUGGAAACCAAAAAUGCUUGUGUACGUUAGGAAAAUAGUCUUCAAAUUACUAAUGAAUGUUUGAACUCUGAAAAUCUCUAUUAAAAGUUAAUUGGUUCGUGCAGAUGGUGUUUCCUAACAUUGUUACAUGGUCCAUGCUUAAGACCUAAAUAGAUUCUUAACCCCCGUC